GGAAGAACAAAAACACAGCUGCAGAGGAGGCUAACAUCUUAGCAACAGAGUUCUUCAUGAAGUCAGAUUCGUGGUCCUGGAGCAGAAGAUGAUCCAGCUGAAUGAAGUGUAGAGUGAAUCAGCAGUGAUGCAGGCCCUGUGUGUGAUGGUAACAGAAGCUCGACAGCCAGUGUCAGGACACACAGCAGCUGACCCUCAGGUCAUGGUUUGUCAGUGUCAGUGUGUUGUGUUGCUAAAUAUUUCCCAUUCACAAAUAGUUUGUGAGGUUAGGUAGUUGUUUAAUAAAUGUCCAAAGGUCUUAGAAGCUCA
rnacentral:lncRNA from 1 species